rnacentral:rRNA from 1 species
AAUUCGGCUUAGAGUUUGAUCCUGGCUCAGGACGAACGCUGGCGGCGUGCCUAAUACAUGCAAGUCGAGCGGACUUGAUGGAGAGCUUGCUCUCCUGAUGGUUAGCGGCGGACGGGUGAGUAACACGUAGGCAACCUGCCUGCAAGACCGGGAUAACCCACGGAAACGUGAGCUAAUACCGGAUAUCUCAUUUCCUCUCCUGAGGGGAUGAUGAAAGACGGAGCAAUCUGUCACUUGCGGAUGGGCCUGCGGCGCAUUAGCUAGUUGGUGAGGUAACGGCUCACCAAGGCGACGAUGCGUAGCCGACCUGAGAGGGUGAACGGCCACACUGGGACUGAGACACGGCCCAGACUCCUACGGGAGGCAGCAGUAGGGAAUCUUCCGCAAUGGGCGAAAGCCUGACGGAGCAACGCCGCGUGAGUGAUGAAGGUUUUCGGAUCGUAAAGCUCUGUUGCCAGGGAAGAACGUCCGGUAGAGUAACUGCUAUCGGAGUGACGGUACCUGAGAAGAAAGCCCCGGCUAACUACGUGCCAGCAGCCGCGGUAAUACGUAGGGGGCAAGCGUUGUCCGGAAUUAUUGGGCGUAAAGCGCGCGCAGGCGGUCAUUUAAGUCUGGUGUUUAAGGCCAAGGCUCAACCUUGGUUCGCACUGGAAACUGGGUGACUUGAGUGCAGAAGAGGAGAGUGGAAUU